rnacentral:rRNA from 1 species
CUACGGGGUGCAGCAGUGGGGAAUAUUGGACAAUGGGGGAAACCCUGAUCCAGCAAUGCCGCGUGUGUGAAGAAGGCCUGCGGGUUGUAAAGCACUUUCGGUUGGGAGGACUGCUUCUAGCACUAAUAUUGUUGGAAGUUGACGUUACCUUCAGAAGAAGCACCGGCUAACUCCGUGCCAGCAGCCGCGGUAAUACGGAGGGUGCAAGUGUUAAUCGGAAUUACUGGGCGUAAAGCGCGCGUAGGCGGCUAGAGCGUCGGGUGUGAAAGCCCCGGGCUUAACCUGGGAACUGCAUCCGAUACUGUCUAGCUUGAGUUCAGGAGAGGAGAGUGGAAUUCCACAUGUAGCGGUGAAAUGCGUAGAUAUGUGGAGGAACACCAAUGGCGAAGGCAGCUCUCUGGCCUGAUACUGACGCUGAGGUGCGAAAGCGUGGGGAGCAAACAGGAUUAGAUACCCUCGUAGUC